rnacentral:rRNA from 1 species
CCUACGGGUGGCAGCAGUGAGGAAUAUUGGUCAAUGGACGCAAGUCUGAACCAGCCAUGCCGCGUGCAGGAAGACGGCUCUAUGAGUUGUAAACUGCUUUUGUACGAGGGUAAACGCAGGCACGUGUAUCUGUUUGCAAGUAUCUUAUGAAUAAGGAUCGGCUAACUCCGUGCCAGCAGCCGCGGUAAUACGGAGGAUUCAAGCGUUAUCCGGAUUUAUUGGGUUUAAAGGGUGCGUAGACGGUCUGUUAAGUUAGUGGUGAAAUCCCGAGGCUCAACCUCGGAAUUGCAUCUGAUACUGGCCGUCUAGAGAGUAGUUGAGGUAGGCGGAAUGUGUGGUGUAGCGGUGAAAUGCUUAGAGAUCAUGCAGAACACCGAUUGCGAAGGCAGCUUACCAAGCUACCUCUGACGUUGAGGCACGAAAGCGUGGGGAGCAAACAGGAUUAGAUACCCCGGUAGUC